CUCAGAUGUGCCGGCGCCACUGCCUGCGCCUUCUCCAGCGCCGCCUCGGUCACCGGCGCCAACUCCGGUCAGUGGUCUCCGGCACGCCCUCGCGGCUGGACGAGGCAGAGAUGUGCCGAGGAUCCCCACGCCCUUGGUUCUCAUGUUCUCUGCUCCCAGCCGCAGCAGAUCGUCCCAAAGGCAUUAUCGUGAGGAGGGAAGCGGCCGCAGAUUAAGGACAACGCGGGUUAAGAGCAUGGUCAUAGUCUAGGAGCACGCCCGGUGGUCGGUACGUAUGUUGUCUCCAUGCCAAAAAUAGCCACUUGAUUAUUUUAACAAAUCCCUCUUCUGCCUCUUAGUCAUGCUCAAAUCUGAGCUACCAUGUGUCUACUGAGCUUAAAAUUACCCACAACCCACAAUAGAAGGCAAGUAUGAUUUGACAGUGUAUGACAUGGUAAUCUAGCUUUAUAAAAUCCAAAUUGAUCAGGAUAUGCACAUAGAUGUUUACAUAUUUGCAUCCGUAGUGUCACUUAUAGGAUUGUAAUUAAUAGCAAUCAUGGAGAGAGUCGGUUCGUUUUAUUAUCAGCACGUCUCUUCUUCUGCAUCCUGAAGAUCUGCUAAAAUAUGAAGUGAAUUUCCUGUUUUAUCUCACAUUUACCAAUUACACAUUGAAAUAUUGUGUUUGUCAAGAGAGUUUGAUUUGUACUUUGGAAGUUUUGGGAU